rnacentral:rRNA from 1 species
GGGUUGUGAGGUUAAGCGACUAAGCGUACACGGUGGAUGCCCUGGCAGUCAGAGGCGAUGAAGGGCGUGCUAAUCUGCGAUAAGCGCCGGUAAGGUGAUAUGAACCGUUAUAACCGGCGAUACCCGAAUGGGGAAACCCAGUGUGAUUCGUCACACUAUCAUUAACUGAAUCCAUAGGUUAAUGAGGCGAACCGGGGGAACUGAAACAUCUAAGUACCCCGAGGAAAAGAAAUCAACCGAGAUUCCCCCAGUAGCGGCGAGCGAACGGGGAGGAGCCCAGAGCCUGAAUCAGCAUGUGUGUUAGUGGAAGCGUCUGGAAAGGCGCGCGAUACAGGGUGACAGCCCCGUACACAAAAGCGCAUGUGCUGUGAGCUCGAUGAGUAGGGCGGGACACGUGGUAUCCUGUCUGAAUAUGGGGGGACCAUCCUCCAAGGCUAAAUACUCCUGACUGACCGAUAGUGAACCAGUACCGUGAGGGAAAGGCGAAAAGAACCCCGGCGAGGGGAGUGAAAAAGAACCUGAAACCGUGUACGUACAAGCAGUGGGAGCACAGGUUUACCUGUGUGACUGCGUA